UGAAAGGAUGCUUUUAAGGUAGAGU
rnacentral:piRNA from 1 species